UGCGUAGGUGGCAGUGCAAGUCAGAUGUGAAAGGCCGGGGCUCAACCCCGGAGCUGCAUUUGAAACUGCUCGGCUAGAGUACAGGAGAGGCAGGCGGAAUUCCUAGUGUAACGGUGAAAUGCGUAGAUAUUAGGAGGAACACCAGUGGCGAAGGCGGCCUGCUGGACUGUUACUGACACUGAGGCACGAAAGCGUGGGGGAGCAAACA
rnacentral:rRNA from 1 species